GGAAGAUUUCCUAAUCUCUCCAGGACCUCGCUCUACCUUAAGUCUUUAAUAAAAACUUGACUGAAGGUACCAAGGUGUGUUGAAGUGGAAGCAAAGUUCUCCAAAGUCCAGCAUGGUAGACAUCAGUGGUGGACAAGGACAGACCCCAAGGCAAGGUGAACCUCAAAAAUUGAACCUCAAGUCUAUGCAGUCCAGCUGCCCUCCCCACCAGAAAGUCCUUGUUCCAGCCCAACAUCAGUGCCUCUGAGUUUGGCUAUUAGAAACGAAGGAAGAAUUUCCUUGUAAAAAUACAGACAGAGCAGUCCCUGGCUUUCUCCUCUUGCAGGAAGGAGGGAUUCUCCCAUUCCAUACCAUCUUUCCCCCACACUGGCCCCAGAAAUACUUAAUUCGACUAUGUGAAAAUAAAGAUUGUUUUUGGCCUGAGGGCAUAGGGAUCCAUUUAUCCUUAUUCUUUAUGAGGCACUAAAUUAGCUUCGUAUGUUAUUAAAUGUGUCUCAUCAACGCUGUGGGCAUUGUUUCAUUUUAA